AGCUGUUUGAUUUGGGAGGUGGGUCACCCACAAGGAGCAACGCAGAAAGGAAAGAGGUCGGCCUGGGGGUUGCUCCUCCCUCAUCCCGUCCACUUUACUGAUUUCUACCCUUUGCGAGAAGCCAAGAGCCACAAGUCAGAAGAUUCUCCUGGAACAUAACCAAGCUUGGACACGGAGAGGGUCUGAGGCAAGAGGCCCAUAUUUUCUCUUGGCAGAUCCUAAUUUUACUCCAAGGGCAUCGCUCGGAUGGAAGCUUCCAGAACUCUGUGCACCACCAGACAAAGCCUGAUUCCAAAAACAACUCAGCAAAGAUGUUCUUAAUUGUGUGUCUCCAAGAGAGGGGCAAGAGGAACCCUAACAAGCGUGACAUUUAUUGAAUGCUUUCUCUGAGCGAGCAUUGUGCUAGGGGACCGUCACUUGUCGGAAUACGCGUUUAUUCAACAAACACUGAACCCCCCUUAUGUGCAAAACAGGCCCCGGAAAGGCAAAGAUGAGCAAAACAGUCAAAAAUCCUAGCUCUCGCCGAACCUGUCGAUAAAAACAAACGUGCACGUCAGCUGACGACAAUGAACGUGAUGAAGGACGGUAAAAGCCAACUAAGGGAACGCUAUAUAAAACCUGCGUAAAAAUACAGCAGGCCAAGGAGCGUUAGUCCAGAUACAGCUGUGCUGGGGGGCUGCUGUGACUGCCGUCUGAUGACAGCAACGACGCAAGGCAGGAGAGAACACUGAACUGGCCCAACAUUGCACCAAACAAAUUAUGACCUGAAUGUCGAGAGAAACUGUGUCACCUAGAGAGACCCAAUUAACGACAUGACUCUGCUCUCCUCAAUUCUCCUCUCCCCUCCGGGCGUAUCCGGGGCACCCGUGUGGUUGACCGCCUUUUCCCACUACUGGCCACGUUCCCCGGCGAACUCCAAAGCCAGACACCAAACCCGGGCCUCCUGAGAAGCCCAACCCCGAGAGGGGAAAUCCUGCGCUCCGCACACCUGGGCCUGUGGAGGAAGCCGGAAGGACACCGGACAGAAAGCGCACCUGGGUGGCGGUCUGGAGUGUUCACCUUGAGAUCACUAAGUUGCUCCUUAAGCCAGCGCUGCGAGCAGAACAAACGAACAAACGCGGCCGACCAGCUCCCAAAUGAGGGCGUGCACGUGCCCUUUUCUGGUUAGCCCCUCCCUGGAGACCCCAUCACCUCCCCCUUCCCUCCAGCACACGCAGACAUGCCCGCUGCCAUCCCGACCUCCCCACCGACCACACGCAUGUGUGUGUACAUGCACAGAAACAUCCUCUCCCCAGCCCGAGCCUGGGUUUCUUUAGGGAACCAGCGCGUCCCCCCUCCCCCCUGCACUUGUCUCGGCUCCAGCCCCACACCGCUGCAGAGUUGGUAAUGUAAUAUGCGGGGACC